rnacentral:tRNA from 1 species
AUUUAAGUAGUUAAGUAAUAAUAUUGAUUUGUGGAAUCAAAGUUGUAUAGUUUAAUACCUUAGAUA